UACAGAGGUCUCAAGCGUUGUUCGGAUUCAUUGGACGUAAAGGGUGCGUAGGCGGCGCGGUAAGUCGGGUGUGAAAUCUUGGAGCUUAACUCCGAAACUGCAUUCGAUACUGCCGUGCUUGAGGACUGGAGAGGAGACUGGAAUUUACGGUGUAGCGGUGAAAUGCGUAGAUAUCGUAAGGAAGACCAGUGGCGAAGGCGGGUCUCUGGACAGUUCCUGACGUGAGGCACGAAGGCCAGGGGAGCAAACGGG
rnacentral:rRNA from 1 species